GAGGCUUUGGGGAGAAGAAGAAAAGAAAAAAAAAAGAAGAUUGGCAACAGAUGUUAGCUCAGGUGCCAACCUUUAAAAAAAAAAAUAGAUCCCAAAUAGUUAAUCUUAAAAUAGAGAGAUCAUCUGGGGGCGCCUGACCUAAUCACAUGAGCCCUUUAAAUAUAUGUUUGGAGAUCAGAGACAAGCCAGAUCUGCAACGUGACAGGGAUUCAUUUGGAGAGAGGUUCUCCAGUGGCGGUUUUGAAUGGAGGGGGCCAUGGUGCAAGGACCUGAGAGUGGCCUCUAGUUGACAGCCAGCAAGAAAACUAGGACCUCAGUCCUAUAACCAUAAGAAACUGAUUUCUGCUGCAACCGCAUGAGCCUGGAAGUGGACCCUGAGCUCUGGAUGAGAAUGAAACCCAGACAACGCCUUGAUUUUAACUUUGUGAGACUCUGAGUAGAGUUGAUAGGGUUUUACCAGCUGCAUGGAUGGAAAGAUUGAAUCCACCGGCAGUUUUCCUGCCUUUGAACUGUCAGAGAAUGCUUUUGGGAGGUGCUGUGGCGGUAGGCUGGAAGGACACCUAUCCCACCAUAGAGGAAGGAGUGGAGGCCUCUGGGAGGUGGUGAUGAGGGAGCUCCAUCUUGAAGGAAUAGAAGAAUCUAAACAGGUUGGAUCUCCUCACCGGAGUGCUUCCUUUACAGCAGGCUCCCAUCAUCUUUUCCUUCCAGGUGCUCUCCUUGCUUUGCUCAGAUCCACUCUCCACCCCUCUCCACUUUGCUCUCUGCCCUGGAAGAUUGAAGUGAAUGGAUAUCAACAGGGCUCCUAGCUCUUUGGCUUUUGGCUGGCUUUGGCCCAUGAAGAGCUGUGGCAAGAGAUCGGAGUCAGGGCAGAGAGUGAGUUUGGGGUAUUUGUCACCUUGGCUUCUCCUUGAAGGUUACCUGGUGCUUGCUGUAUCAUGCACCUGCAAGUCAACUGCUUCUCUCCAAACAUGUUACUCUGUAUGACUCUUCUACGUGGUCCUGGAAGCCUCUCUCUCCCCUGGUCAUCCCUUUGGGUCUAGAGGUGGUAGCAGCUUGGCUGCUGGUAGCCUGCAUUCCUCCUCUAUGCCCUUAGUGAAUAGUCCUUUUGUAAAUAAAUUCUCCUUGAGUUGUACUAAUUUGACUGCCCCAUCUGGUUGCCAUUUCAGUCUUGACUGAUGUAUGCAUUUUAUUGUGAUUCUGUUUUAAAAUUUUAUUCUUCUAUUAAAUGGUCUUUUAGCAGAGCUUAAUUUCCAUAACAACAAUCACAAUCUACAAAUUUGGUAUAAUUGAAGUACUUUUUGAAGGGAUAAGGCAAGCUUAUCAGUCUUUUGAAAAAACUGAUGUCCUUAAUCUGUAUACUCCAGCACAAAGUGAAUGAUAGACCAUUUAAAAUUAAUGUACUCAUUAAUUCAAUAAACAACUGAAUAC
rnacentral:lncRNA from 1 species